AUACGGGGGGAGCAAGCGUUGUUCGGAAUUACUGGGCGUAAAGCGCGCGUAGGCGGUUUGGUAAGUCGGAUGUGAAAGCCCUGGGCUCAACCCGGGAAUUGCAUUCGAAACUGCCCGACUCGAGUAUGGUAGAGGGAAGUGGAAUUUCCGGUGUAGCGGUGAAAUGCGUAGAUAUCGGAAGGAACACCAGUGGCGAAGGCGACUUCCUGGGCCAAUACUGACGCUGAGGUGCGAAAGCGUGGGGAGCAAACAGGAUUAGAAACCCCAGUAGUCC
rnacentral:rRNA from 1 species